rnacentral:rRNA from 1 species
UACGGGGGGUGCGAGCGUUGUCCGGAAUCACUGGGCGUAAAGGGCGCGUAGGUGGUUUGAUAAGGGUGUGGUGAAAGUCCGGGGCUCAACCCCGGAUCUGCCGUGCCGACUGUCAAACUCGAGGGCUGUAGAGGCAGACGGAAUUCCGGGUGUAGCGGUGGAAUGCGUAGAGAUCAUGAGGAAGACCAGUGGCGAAGGCGGGUCUCUGGACAGUUCCUGACACUGAGGCACGAAGGCCAGGGGAGCAAACGGG